UCGUGUAAUUUGGGUCAAUAUCUGCUGUAUUUACGGUUUUACCCAGUGAAUACAGGCGACUUCCAGUUCUCAGUAUUUUGUCUUUGAUUGUCACGAUUUACAUCAAUGAUUAUUGAAACAUAACAUAACAUAAUGAUAAUAUUGUUACAACUAUUAUUAAAGAUCGCGUAGCCGUCCGUGUAGAUAAUAACUACUAAGAAGUGCUAGAAUAGACAACAGCUUUAUUUAAUCGCCGAUUGUGAACCGCGGAUACGCAAUUUAUAGCGUAGAGCAACACACACAUGGACCAGCACUUUUCAAUACACAAUUAAACCUACCAAAAGUUAUUAGUCGAAAUAUUCAUUUACGUUUACUCUGAUUAUUUACAAUUACCCCGCUUGACCCUAUAAUGGUUAAUGUUAUUGUUUCGACACGAAGUUCCUUGACGACUACUUCCGACAUGUCGAAAAACCUCUUGGAGCGUGUAUGAGUGUAUG